rnacentral:rRNA from 1 species
CCUACGGGAGGCAGCAGUGAGGAAUAUUGGUCAAUGGCCGUAAGGCUGAACCAGCCAAGCCGCGUGAAGGAAGAAGGUUCUAUGGUUUGUAAACUUCUUUUAUAGGGGAAUAAAGGUAUCCUCGUGUGGAUAUUUGCAUGUACCCUAUGAAUAAGCAUCGGCUAACUCCGUGCCAGCAGCCGCGGUAAUACGGAGGAUGCGAGCGUUAUCCGGAUUUAUUGGGUUUAAAGGGUGCGUAGGUUGUUUUGUAAGUCAGGGGGGAAAGUUCGGGGCUCAACCACAGAAUUGCCGUUGAAAUUGGAAGACUUGAGUGUGCGAGAGGUAGGCGGAAUGUGUGGUGUAGCGGUGAAAUGCAUAGAUA